GGUUGGGGGUCCUGGAAUUGCCCGCUCUCUCUACAGAGGGUAACCUCCUUCCCGCGCUGGGACGCCUCCUGGGAAUUCAAAGUCUAGCAGGAAAGUCCUUAGGAGAGACCAAAGGACCUGGAAGAAAAUGGCACGAAACAGAGCUUUGGAAAAGAGACUUCAGAAACUCAAGCAAGAAGAGUCAGCAGGGCCUCUGCCUCUCUCCUGAGUUCCAAAUUUCAUCUGAGUGCAGCUGAGUGGCUGACACACAAACAGCAUUCAAACUCGAGCUUCAAGGGGUCUGAGAAGUGUCACGCUCACGUUCUGGCUUCGGUGGCCUGAGGGGAUGCCCAGGACGCCCUUCUCACCCACUUCACCACCAGGGGCCUGACUCCCACCGCAGCCUUGCCAUUGAGGGCAUCACUGACCCUCCUUGCCUUGGCACGCCUGCAUGCUGGCUGGGGCUGGCCUGGGAGGUGCCCAUACCAAGGCCUGCUCUCCGUUGGUGAAGUCAGGAGACCAUCUCUCCCCUUUUCUCCCUUAAAACUUUUUUUUCCACAACCAGGUCCCUUGGACUCUUACCUUCAAGCGCCAAUGCUUUUAAAAAUAUUUCUUCCAAAUAGAGACAGUGCCAUCCCCAAGAGGAAUUCUGGGGAUGAA